UCUGGAUACAAAGCAGUCUGCCACGCUCUGGCUCCUUCCUCCCGCAUCCCGUUGGCCGCCGCCUCCUCCUCCUCCCUGUUUGCACGCUCCCUCCCUCCCUUUCUCAUUCUUUCCUUCCCUUACCGCCACGCUGCAGAGAGGCAGACCUGGAGCACUGAUGGUCCACGGAGGAGGAAGGAGCUCUCCCCUGAUGUUUCUUUGAGAGUGAAACGGAGAGGCAGAGAUGUGAUGGAGUGUUUUUGUUGCUGCCUGGAUUAAGAAAGAAUACAUUGGGGGGAAAAAAAAAAUCCGGACCCAACAAACAAGGAAAAAGGGAGGAGAGAAGGAGGAGGAGGCUGCUGGGGGGAGCCCACUCCAGUGGGUGAACAGCUGCUUUGAAUCGUGCCUCUGUUCACAGGGAUUAAAGCAUGAAUGGGAGCAGCCUCCCAGCCACGAUGGAGAGAGAAGGCGGUUCAGGCUGUGGGAAUAAGGUUUCCUGCCAGAUGGGUCCCUGAGCUUCCUGCUGGAGGCCCCAACUGCAUCCUGUAGAAGUGCUCUCCUGGUCCCAGCAGCUGAGGCCCCUCCAAACCUGCUUCUGCAAUGGGUAAUGAGGAGCUGUGGGUCCAGUCAGUCUUGGAGAUGCCGAAGAGACGAGACAUCCUGGCUAUCGUGCUGAUAGUUCUGCCCUGGACACUACUAAUCACCGUCUGGCACCAGAGCACCAUUGCUCCACUGCUUGCAGUGCACAAGGAUGAUGGUGGUGACUCCCGGCGUGAUCUCGCUGCAGGCUUGGACUCCAAGGAAUACUGCUUGUCGGACCGGGACAUUGUGGAGGUGGUGAGGACAGAAUAUGUUUAUACUCGCCCACCCCCGUGGUCAGACACCCUUCCCACCAUCCACGUCAUUACACCCACCUACAGCCGGCCUGUGCAGAAGGCAGAGCUGACACGCCUGGCCAACACCCUCCUGCACGUGCCAAACCUGCACUGGAUCCUGGUGGAGGACUCCCAGCGGCGCACACCCCUCAUCACCCGGCUGCUGCGGGACACGGGGCUCAACUACACCCACCUCAACGUGGAGACCCCUCGCAACUACAAGCUGCGGGGAGACAUGCGGGACCCCCGCAUUCCCCGGGGGACCAUGCAGAGGAACCUUGCCCUGAGGUGGCUGAGAGAGACCUUUAACAAAAACAACAGCCAGCCUGGGAUUGUUUACUUUGCCGACGAUGACAACACCUACAGCCUGGAGCUCUUUGAGGAGAUGCGCAGCACCAGGAAGGUGUCGGUGUGGCCAGUAGCCUUCGUUGGUGGCUUACGCUACGAGUCCCCCAAAGUGAACGCUGCAGGGAAGGUCUACGGCUGGAAAACUGUGUUCGACCCCCAUCGCCCUUUUGCUAUAGACAUGGCAGGGUUUGCUGUGAACCUCAGACUCAUCCUCCAGCGAUCUCAGGCGUACUUCAAACUGCGAGGAGUGAAGGGAGGCUACCAGGAGAGCAGCCUGCUGCGGGAGCUUGUCACCCUGAAUGACCUUGAGCCGAAAGCUGCCAAUUGCACUAAGAUUUUAGUCUGGCACACAAGGACAGAAAAGCCUGUGCUGGUGAAUGAGGGGAAGAAAGGAUUCACAGAUCCCAACGUGGAAAUCUGAGCGUGCACGGCCGAGCAGAGACCAACACCAGAAGAUUUCUUCAUGCACAGCCUCCAAGGUUCCUCCCCACAGCAUACAGCCAGACAUGCAGUAGCCAGGACCUCUGCUGACUUCCAAGAGUUUUAGUGUACUGAAAGCAAGCAACACUGCAUACAUAAACUACCCGGAUCCCCCUGCCCUUCCUCCUGGACUCUGAGCAGAACCUGACGCUCUGGGGGUGGAGAAAAAGCACAGAAAUACAGGACUGAACUUCCCUACGAGACACUCGGUCUGGGAGAAGCGCACGAUGCACUGAAGAUGAGGCCCGGCUGGAAGGGCAGCCCAGACUGAGUGGGCUGUUAUACGGGACCUGAGAGCGAGGGGCCAGACGGGAGCGCAGAGCCACGCUGGAGCCAGUCAGGAGUUAACUAGUGGGAACAGAGCAGCACCCCUGUAAAGGGAUCCUGUGCUUAGCACUCAGUUCCUUCCGGCUCUAGGUAGGUUGAAAAACUAAGCAGAAUAUUAGCUGCCUCUUCCCUGCUCUGUAACAUCAAAAGACCUGAGAUAGAUAGCAUUGAUGAAAGGGUAUUCUCUGAUGAAACUGUAUCUUGCUCCUCAGCAAGAGGCACGUGGCUGAGCAAUGCAGAUGAGGAACCUGGGUGCUGCUACCUUGGCUGACUCUAUUUGAAAACGACAAACGUGCUGAGGAAGAAAUUAAGGUACAGCUUAGCCCUUCUCCCUACCUCCAGCCAGCAAGCACACAAAAAACCCUAAAUAAACACAACUUAGUGCCCUGCCCUUGUAGCUGUCCAACAUCUGAUCAACCCCCACUGUCCCAAUUCUUCCAGAAGGGUCUGAAGCACAAUUUUCCCUUUGAGUUGAGGGAAAAUGUAAUCCCAGAGUUGAUUCUUUUUAGCCCUAAUGCAUAGAUUAUUAAAGUACUAUAGAUGGGAUUGUUAGCUUCACAGGGCAGAAGCCUCCCCUUGGACUAAUGACUGCAUUCCCUAAUCUUUAAAGAAACAUUUGGGUUUUUUUUUUUUCAAGUUAUUUUCUCCCACUGUCUUUCAGAAUCAGUGGGGGAAAGCUGCAUUGCUCAGCUCUCAGUCACAAAGCCUUGCUAUACAGCCUUUAUAAAAAUGUUCUUUUAGAUGCAUUGGCUGAAGUGCUACUGGGAUAGAAAGCAUCCAGUUCCACCGUCCACUCUGUGGGAACAGGCACUGUUACCCUGUGCUAAAAUGGGAGCUCUCUGCACUCAAGCAGCCUGAUUCUGUUCUUGUACUAGCAUCCCAACCUCAGUUCAAUCUGCACACCCUAGAGUGGAAAGAGACAUUGUUAAAGGCGUACAGAUUCUUCUGCUAAGGUAGUUCCAAAUGGAUGGCCUCUCCUAGCUGCAUGCUUUUGUUCGCUAACGUCAGCUCCAGCCCCUGCUGAGCUGCAGCCUUCCCUCCUUGGAAGGAAAUAACUUCCAGAAAAAUGCAAAGGCCCAAGUCCUGACCACAGCCCUGCUUUUACGCUCCUCAAAGCUGGUGAGACGAGUCUGGGCCCUUCCAACCUGCACAGGGGCACUGUGGGUCCGGGGAGCAGAGACGUGCGUGCUCAGUGAGACCAGCUCUGACCAGAGUGGAGUGUAUUACAGCCACACUGUCUGUUCUCAGUUUUAAAUAAACUGUAUUUAAAUUUGUUAAAUAAAAUUAAGUAUGGUUUUUAAGAGAGAGAAUACCCUGCAACUCCGUUCU